rnacentral:lncRNA from 1 species
UAAACCUAGGUCUUGCCCUAAACCCAGCGCUCUGGUCUCUAACAUCUCAAAGGCAUUAUAUCGAAAGAUAGGAGAUUCUUAAACCACGCCUCUAUGUUUACGUUCGAUACCUUCAGCACCCCCGCAGAGUUCACAUCUCGCGGAAGAACUCUCGAAACAGGUCUCGAAUAAAACAUUUCGCAAUUGAAGAAGGAUAUGAGACGACAACUCAUCACCUUCCUCCCCACUGUUCACGAAUUCGCACUAAAAGCAUUAUCCGAUUAUCGUACCAUAAAAAUAAAGCCGCGGAGUGGCAGGGAUUCAAAGC